UUUCCGUAGGUGAACCUGCGGAAGGAUCAUUCAUAAUAAGUGUUUUAUGGCACUUUUUUAAAUCCAUAUCCACCUUGUGUGCAAUAUCAGGGUUGAUUUUUCUCUCGAGAGGAUCAACCCCAAACAUCAACUAUAUCUCAACUCUUUGUCUGAAAAAUAUUAUGAAUAAAACAAUUCAGAAUACAACUUUCAACAACGGAUCUCUUGGCUCUC
rnacentral:misc_RNA from 1 species